rnacentral:lncRNA from 1 species
GUCAAAAUGCAACUGCAACUAGAGGUAAAGCUUGAGGGUUUACGUUUUCCAGAUUUCCACAGUGUUAAAAAGUAUUCUGGAACUCCUGUGUAGAUUCAUUUCUCCCCUGGCUUUGGGAAGUGCGAUUACUGAACUAAAAAGUCACCGCAUCUUUCUCUGGCAACCGGAGGGUAUAAAUACUGAGCUGGGGGAGAGGCAUUUAAUCGGUUCAAUGUGUUCAUCACUUUAAAAAGUAUGAUCAGUUUCUGUUCAUUAUUGGAAUGUGGGGACUAAAGCGCUGCUGUGAGCCGGCUCACCUUUUCAUGUGGCAAACAAGGAAACGGACACGAAGACGAGGCGAAACGGCUCGUCUCCACGCCCAGGGCUCGGCCCCAGACUCUCAGCUCGUGUCCGCGGCGUUCCUCUGCCGAUGUAGGUGUUCUCCUUGUGGGGGCCUUCGGGGAGCCAUCGGCUCAGGAAAAGCCCAUCUCAGGGCCACAACCGCUGGGUCCUCUGCUGCCCCCAAGGUUUUCCUCCAGUCACAGACAUGCAUUGGGCAAUGUUGGAUGUUGGCUCUUGCUUGGUCUACCCAGGGGUGUCCCUGCAAGUUUUCGGGCGAAAAUGGCACCUUCCAUUCUUUUUUCAGAAUGGUUCUUAGUGUCCAGCUACACCAUCCUCAACACCAGCGGAGUUCUCACGGGCACAGGCCGUGACACGACCUCACGACUGCCACUGGGCCGGCAGCGAGGGUGGGAAGACUCGCGCCAGAUCCAGAAAGGCGAGUGUGUGUCUUAAGCCGGAGAGACACCUGGGUGGACCCCGUGCCCUCCGAAUGUCCUCUCUCUGCCGGUCACUUAGCUCCCCUCGCUCUUCUAACCCCAGUGGACUUGCCCCGCUCCGGAGCCUGCCGCCCAGUCUGCGAUGACACGUGCACAGGGGUGGUGACAAUAUGCCGGGCGCUGAAAAAAAAGAAUGUGUGAUUCCUGAUGGGAUCUGCGUGCAAAGGUGCAGCCCGGGUGCAG